GAUUGCCCGUCUGAAUGCCAUGAUGGAGUCAGUGCUAGCCGCUCAAAGUCAGUCUUCUCCAACGCCUGCAACUCCUCCUCCUUAGAGAAUUGUCAUUUCCGAGGUUGCUACCUCUACCAUUCCUGCAGCUGCUGCUCACUUUGCGCCUAACAUGCAUGCCAGAUUCCCAUGGGGAAUGCCAUCCAAUUUCGUGCUUGAAGGUUUUGCACCUACUUUUGCUUCCAUGCCGGUAUCUAGCCC
rnacentral:lncRNA from 1 species